UACGGAGGUUGCAAGCGUUGUUCGGAAUUACUGGGCGUAAAGGGGGCGCAGGCGGUUCGCCAAGUUGAAAGUGGAAGCCCGGGGCUCAACCCCGGGUUCGUCUUUCAAUACUAGCGAACUUGAGUUUGGGAGAGGAAAGCGGAAUUCCGGGUGUAGCGGUGAAAUGCGUAGAUAUCCGGAGGAACACCGAUGGCGAAAGCAGCUUCUGGCCCGAUACUGACGCUCAUGCCCGAAAGCGUGGGGAGCGAACGAGGA
rnacentral:rRNA from 1 species